rnacentral:rRNA from 1 species
GGAUGAGUUGUUUCGAGACAGCGGAGAUUGCGAUGUUGAAUGUUUUCGGAUGUUCUUUAUUGCGAGAACCGCGUUAAUCGAAUCGGCUUGAACCGGGCAAAAGUCGUAACAAGGUUUCCGUAGGUGAACCUGCGGAAGGAUCAUUA